UACGUAGGGGGCAAGCGUUGUCCGGAUUUAUUGGGCGUAAAGAGCUCGUAGGCGGUUCCGUAAGUCGUGAAGUCAAAUCUCUGGGCUCAACCCAGAAUCGCUUCCGAUACUGCGGUGACUGGAGUCCGGUAGGGGAGUGUGGAAUUCCUGGUGUAGCGGUGAAAUGCGUAGAGAUGUGGAGGAACACCAGUGGCGAAGGCGGCUUUCUGGUCUGUAACUGACGCUGAGGCGCGAAAGCGUGGGGAGCAAACAGGG
rnacentral:rRNA from 1 species